AAAAAUAGCUAGGGGGGCCAGUAGUGUCUGGCUGAGAUUAGAAAUGAAAUUUCUUGACCCUUUAACCUGAUCUGGUUAAUACCAGCGUAGGGAAGCCCAAGAGACAAAUA
rfam:Clostridium perfringens str. 13 DNA, complete genome.